UGUAAGCGUAUACCAAAGUUGUUGCAGUUAAAACGCUCGUAGUCGGACUUUGGCAGUUCCGGAUGUGCGCACGUCGUGUGCGCACUUCGCGGGGAUUGCUUUUGUGGUCUUGCGUAGGAUGAGGCACUUUUAUUAGUGAACGUCCUCACGCAACCACUUUUUACUGUGAGAAAAUCAGAGUGCUCAAAGCAGGCAUUUGCCGUGAAUGUAUUAGCAUGGAAUAAUAGAAUAGGACUUGGUUCUAUUUUGUUGGUUUGUUGGGACUGAGUAAUGAUUAAGAGGGACAGUUGGGGGCAUUUGUAUUUCGGUGCUAGAGGUGAAAUUCUUAGAUUACCGAAAGACAAACUGCUGCGAAAGCGUCUGCCAAGGAUGUUUUCAUUGA
rnacentral:rRNA from 1 species